ACGCACGCAUCAUCAACCAUGCUACGGAAUCUUGUCAAGAAAGGUGAACACACGAAAAGGACAAGGACUAAUUAGGUAAUAUGAUAUCAGCUUUCAUCAAAAACUCAGAAAACGACGUCGUUUAUUAGAUCCAACAAGAUCUGAAGAUGGUGUUGAAUAGCGGCGUGGUGGUUCGGGUAGCGCACGUAUCAGCGAACCUUUUUCAGUACAUAGCGUGUAACCCUGAGAUUCUACAAAGCGACGUCGUUUUGCAACUCCUCUUCUGUCUCCCUCUCCAACCGUUCCAACGCUUGGCUCUUUCUCUUUGGUCCUACCUUGGCUAUAAUUAUGAUGAUGUUAAUCAUCGUCCACACUCUGAAUGAUUGAUGAUCUUCUUAUCGUAAUAAUCACCGUAUCUGUAUAUAUGUAUGUAUGUAAUGUAAUUUAUGGUUAAUGAAUUACUGUUGUGUGUUGUUACUAUAUUUUGUAUUAAAAUGUUUUAUGCAUGUUAGAUCUUUAGAUUGUUAGGUUGUUGCUGUUUUUGUUUAAUUUGUGAAUGGAUGUUUUGUUUCAUAUUUGUGUGUUGAUGUCUUUUCCUGGAUAAAAGAGCGGCUUAGUGCAUGAGAGUUUCACCUGGUAGGGUUUGGAGGGUAGAUAUAUGUUGCCUUGUCGGUGAACAGUGAGACUGUUUUCAGGAUUUGAACCGGUUAUGUAUGAGUUACUAAUUGGACAAGUCUGGAAAAUUUAUAGAAGUUGGGAUUUAUUUGGUAUGUUGGAAGGAAACCCUGUGUGUGUCAGAGGAGUUGGAUUAAGCUGGUGGCUAGAGCUCAACAACACCUACCAGUGGUUAAAUACUAUAUCAAUUUAAUCUGGCAGGUGUUGGAUGUAGAUAGUAUAGAAUCAAAUUUGCACCUUAUAGAGAGGUUUUAUUCAAAUCUUUUGUAUUAAGAACAAUUUUUUAUGACCAUUGUUGGGUAUAUUCAAGUAUGAUAUUCACAUUGGAUAGAAAAGGAUGUUUAGAAGAGUUUAUAAGUCGAAAAAACAUAUGAAACUACUGAUUUGAGGCUUCCGUAAAAAGGAUGUGAUGUCUCGCUUGCGGUUGCUGGUCCUAAUAACUACUUUUUCACAGAGGAGAAAAAGAAAGAAGGCUUUGUUGAGUCCAGGAGGAGAAAAACAGAGGAUGUGAAGGUUUAAACCUCCACCUCAGUUGAGCAUGCUUACUGCAGUGCAUGGAGUACUUAGCACUAACCGUACAAUUAGUAUAAUUAUUAUACAUUUUGUUUGUUGUGCUUUUAUUUAGUCAAAUUCUCAUGGAUUUUAGUUUCAUGAAGUUGUGCUUACCUUUAGAUUUUAGUCUGUAACUUAACAGUUGUGUCAAUGUUUUUGGUAUUCUCAUUGAAAUUUUCCCCUUUAUUGAUAGUCAAAAGGUUUUCUGAGAAUUAUAAUCACAGCCUGGAAAAUUGCUUAGUCUAAGCUGUUUCAGCAAUUGACUUACUUUUCUUUUGGUUUUAAUUGAAUGGAGCAAUUUAUGUCAAGUGUUUUGAAGGGUUGUCAAUUAGAUAAGUGUUUUUAAGGGUUGUUGUAUUUACUUUUGUUUCAAACUCCUAAAAAAUAAGAUUAGAAAGCUGCAAGGCUUUGGUUGUGGCAUUUCAGUAAUUACAUUUGCCAAUACAAGUGUGUUAUACUAGGUGAUGGUUGUCAAAUGGAGGGAAUUGCAAAUGAAUUAUGCUCAAAUGCUACCCUAUUGGAACUCUGGAAGCUAAUUGCAUUUUGGGCUACCAACUUCACUUCUUUAAUCAAAGUUUGGUUUGUAGUUUAUGAAUGUGUUUUGUUUAAGUUUUCCAUAUAAUCUUCCAUUUGAAUAUUAAAGAAGGCUCUUAAAAUAUGGCUUGGAGUUCCAUCUUCACCUGCUGUAAAUUUUGAUUUACUUCUCACUCCUUUGGUUCCUUUGAUUCUAUCAAUCCUGAUUUAUUUGACUUUGCUGAAACAAUGCAGGUUGAAACUCCUUCAAGCAUAGAGAAACAAAGCUAAUUAUUUACAUAAAAAUAGUCAUGAUUUAAUGAGGAAACCAUAAAUGUUUGAUGAGCUUGUAAUGAAAAUAGUAAAUGACAAUAUUGAGUGCAGAGGGUGGAGCUAAAACCUGUAGGUUGGCUUUGUUGGAAAAUUCGGGGGCUGUUAGAUGUAGUAGGGGUGAGUAGGACCCGGCUUUACCUAAUUUGGCCCGAUCGUGAUUGGGGCCUGAAUAAGGUCGGAUUUCAUUAAAUCUAGGGUUGAGUUUGGGUUUAAAUAAUAGACUCAGUCAAUAUUUAGGGUCGGGGUAGAGGACAAACAUGACGUAGCCCG
rnacentral:lncRNA from 1 species